rnacentral:snoRNA from 1 species
CUACGUUUGUCUACACUCUGGAUCUCAGCCAGAGUCUGGUGUUUUGUUCGCAUGUGGGAAGCUUCCGCAAGUACACAUGGGGACGAUAUUCGCAUCAGACUCUAUUAUUCUUCUGUGUUGAGCUCCAAUUUUAAUAGCAAACAAAAUCAACCGUGUCAACUACUCACCAAGAUACAUCUCAUCGAACGUUCGAUUUCAAAAUCUUUCGCUCAUAAUGAUUAUAUUGGUCCAUUUUCACUGACACACAU